rnacentral:rRNA from 1 species
AUUGAACGCUGGCGGCAGGCCUAACACAUGCAAGUCGAGCGGAUGAAGGGAGCUUGCUCCUGGAUUCAGCGGCGGACGGGUGAGUAAUGCCUAGGAAUCUGCCUGGUAGUGGGGGAUAACGUCCGGAAACGGGCGCUAAUACAGCAUACGUCCUGAGGGAGAAAGUGGGGGAUCUUCGGACCUCACGCUAUCAGAUGAGCCUAGGUCGGAUUAGCUAGUUGGUGGGGUAAAGGCCUACCAAGGCGACGAUCCGUAACUGGUCUGAGAGGAUGAUCAGUCACACUGGAACUGAGACACGGUCCAGACUCCUACGGGAGGCAGCAGUGGGGAAUAUUGGACAAUGGGCGAAAGCCUGAUCCAGCCAUGCCGCGCGUGUGAAGAAGGUCUUCGGAUUGUAAAGCACUUUAAGUUGGGAGGAAGGGCAGUAAGUUAAUACCUUGCUGUUUUGACGUUACCAACAGAAUAAGCACCGGCUAACUUCGUG